UACGGAGGGGGCUAGCGUUGUUCGGAAUUACUGGGCGUAAAGCGGGUGUAGGCGGAUUGCUAAGUCGGGGGUGAAAGCCCAGGGCCCAACCCUGGAAUUGCCUUCGAUACUGGCAGUCUCGAGUGCAGGAGAGGUGAGCGGAAUUCCGAGUGUAGAGGUGAAAUUCGUAGAUAUUCGGAGGAACACCAGAGGCGAAGGCGGCUCACUGGACUGUUACUGACGCUGAGACCCGAAAGCGUGGGGAGCAAACAGG
rnacentral:rRNA from 1 species